GUGCUCCAUGUCGACGACCACGUAGUCGUAGCCGGCGAGGUCGGCGAUCUCGGCGAGGGUCGGGGAGGAGCGCAUGAGGAAGAGGCCGUAGAGGGUCUCGCCGGCGACGAGGCGGGACUUGAGGAUCCGCGGUUCGGGGGAGAGAGGGGCGAAGUCGGGAUCCAAGGAGGCGGCGAAGAGGCGGGCGAAGACAUCAUCGCCGGAGCUGUUCUGCUUCUUGAAUCCGGAGGGGUUAGGGAGGGGGGUUGAUGAUGAUGAGAAGGCACCGUUGAUGGGUUAGAGAGAG
rnacentral:lncRNA from 1 species